rnacentral:rRNA from 1 species
AACUCCGGGAAACCGGGGCUAAUACGGGAUGGUUGUUUGAACCGCAGGGUUCAAACAUAAAAGGUGGCUUCGGCUACCACUUACAGAUGGACCCGCGGCGCANUAGCUAGUUAGUGAGGUAACGGCUCACCAAGGCAACGAUGCGUAGCCGACCUGAGAGGGUGAUCGGCCACACUGGGACUGAGACACGGCCCAGACUCCUACGGGAGGCAGCAGUAGGGAAUCUUCCGCAAUGGACGAAAGUCUGACGGAGCAACGCCGCGUGAGUGAUGAAGGUUUUCGGAUCGUAAAGCUCUGUUGUUAGGGAAGAACAAGUACCGUUCGAAUAGGGCGGUACCUUGACGGUACCUAACCAGAAAGCCACGGCUAACUACGUGCCAGCAGCCGCGGUAAUACGUAGGUGGCAAGCGUUGUCCGGAAUUAUUGGGCGUAAAGGGCUCGCAGGCGGUUUCUUAAGUCUGAUGUGAAAGCCCCCGGCUCAACCGGGGAGGGUCAUAGGAAACUGGGGAACUUGAGUGCAGAAGAGGAGAGUGGAAUUCCACGUGUAGCGGUGAAAUGCGUAGAGAUGUGGAGGAACACCAGUGGCGAAGGCGACUCUCUGGUCUCUAACUGACGCUGAGGAGCGAAAGCGUGGGGAGCGAACAGGAUUAGAUACCCUGGUAGUCCACGCCGUAAACGAUGAGUGCUAAGUGUUAGGGGGUUUCCGCCCCUUAGUGCUGCAGCUAACGCAUUAAGCACUCCGCCUGGGGAGUACGGUCGCAAGACUGAAACUCAAAGGAAUUGACGGGGGCCCGCACAAGCGGUGGAGCAUGUGGUUUAAUUCGAUGCAACGCGAAGAACCUUACCAGGUCUUGACAUCCUCUGACAAUCCUAGAGAUAGGACGUCCCCUUCGGGGGCAGAGUGACAGGUGGUGCAUGGUUGUCGUCAGCUCGUGUCGUGAGAUGUUGGGUUAAGUCCCGCAACGAGCGCAACCCUUGAUCUUAGUUGCCAGCAUUCAGUUUAGCACUCUAUGGUGACUGCCGGUGACAAACCGGAGGAAGGUGGGGAUGACGUCAAAUCAUCAUGCCCCUUAUGACCUGGGCUACACACGUGCUACAAUGGACAGAACAAAGGGCAGCGAAACCGCGAGGUUAAGCCAAUCCCACAAAUCUGUUCUCAGUUCGGAUCGCAGUCUGCAACUCGACUGCGUGAA